rnacentral:rRNA from 1 species
GUGAGGAAUUUUCCGCAAUGGGCGAAAGCCUGACGGAGCAAUGCCGCGUGAAGGAUGAAGGCCUAUGGGUUGUAAACUUCUUUUCUUAGAGAAGAAUAUUGACGGUAUCUGAGGAAUAAGCAUCGGCUAACUCUGUUCCAGCAGCCGCGGUAAGACAGAGGAUGCAAGCGUUAUCCGGAAUGAUUGGGCGUAAAGCGUCUGUAGGUGGCUUCAAAAGUCUCCUGUCAAAGAUCAGGGCUUAAACCUGGGCCGGCAGGAGCAACUCUGAGGCUAGAGUUUGGUAGGGGCAGAGGGAAUUCCCGGUGGAGCGGUGAAAUGCGUAGAGAUCGGGAGGAACACCAAAGGCGAAAGCACUCUGCUGGGCCACAACUGACACUGAGAGACGAAAGCGAGGGGAGCAAAAGGGAUUAGAAACCCUAGUAGUCC